AUUCCACUGUGUUGACUCUUAGCCCAUCUCCUUCUAGAAGAGACUCAAGACCUUGAGGAAAGUAGGUCAAUAUUGUUUGAAACUGGUAUGGACAGUCUUUCUUUCAAAAUCCACGUCACAGGAAGAGCUCCGGGACACAAUGAAGCCCAGCAGUCUUAAUCCUCGUACCUUAUUUGUUUGCUUUAGUUUGCUUUAAGGCUCCCAAAAGUUAAUGACUAUCUUAAACAAAGCACAUCCUUCGGACUACAAGGAGCCCCUAAGCUUUACUAUGACUCCUUUACUCCCCCCAGGACCUUGGAUGGCUUUUCUUCUGGGAAAAGGUGAAUUCAUCGGGGAAACUUUAAAAAUAAUACUCAUUGAAAUAGUCUGUGUGUUGCCCACUGUGAUCUAAACCAGAGCUUUCCAAACAUUUCAAUUCAGUUUUCUUAGUAAACUGGAGGGUGCACUAACUCUUCAUAAGAGAUACGGACACAUACAUCAAUUGUAAUAACAAAAUGUGGGAGGACGCAAUGUAUCUCAUGAAAACCUUACUUUUUAAAAUAUAUAAUUUAUUGCUUAUUUCACAUAGACUCGGAGAUUUCUUGUUAUAUUUGCCCAUCAUACCUACACACUGCAGCUAAUUCACUAAGAUGUCACGACACAGUUUGGAAAGCUCUGAUCUAAAUGGCACAUAUCACAGCAGGUUUGCAAGGUGCCUGGACCAAAGUGGAAAUGGAUAUCUGUUUUUUAAAAUAAGACAUUUUAAUGUAAACCACCUUAAAAUAAAGAUAUACAUUUAACAUCCAAGGUUAAGAAGUAAGAUACUCUCUGCACUUAAGAUUAAGAUCUAAAAUGUAUGACACACAAACAGCAAGAAUGAGGAAUGAGGAAGAAAAAAGCAGACUCGGCCAACCAAUUCUGGGAAACAUAUUUCCUAUCACAAUCAGCUGGAAUGGAACAUUUCAGGUUGUUAUGAAAUGACAUCGAGUUGAUUUCAAGUUAUGAUGACCUUGUGAAUAGACUGUUAGUGCUGUGAUAUUACAUUUCUGUUUGGUAAAAGAGAGGGUAAAACUACAUGACCCAAGGGAUCCCAUUUGGGAAAGAAAGCAUAGCUGUUUUCUCAAUCUGUCAAGGCAGAAUGCUAAAAUUAAAGGUUGAUUGAUUUCCUACAUUUGGAGGCUUUUUUUGUAAUUCAAAAAUUUGCUUCAACAAGACCAACAAGCUGUCGCUUCGCUAAUCAGGGUGGAUCUAUGCUGUAGAUUUAAUCCAGUUUGACAUCACUUUAAUAGCUAUGGUUCAACAGCAUUUGGAGUUUGGUGAGGCACCAGCACUUUUUGGCAGAGAAAACUUAAAAGACCUUGUAAAAAACCUCUUCCCAUGAAUCAACAUUAUUGAGCCAUGGUAGUUAAAGUGGUGGCAAACUGUAUCAAAGCUACUGUAUACAUACAUGAGAGUGAAAAACUGCUAAUCUCUUAGCAGAGGAAAUGGACUAAUCUAGUUUAUAUUGUCUUUUGCUCUGCAGUCUCAUAUAGUAGCUGCUGCUAGAGAAUGGAAAGCCAAGCAACAUUUCAAGAGGAAUGUUUUUCCCCAUGGAAAAUAUUAACUUGUAAAGUUUGGACAAUGUUAUUUGAAAUACUAUUUUAGCUUAGGGAUAUUGGUAAGCUAAAGGGGCAGGGUUGUGCAACCUGAGCACCAAAUCUAUUUCCUGGAUUCUGAAAACUAUUUUCCCAAAUUCUGAUUGUCUGCUAGUGUUGGUGGAUUGAUUGUGGCAUGGGAAGAUUUUCAAGAAAGCUGGUUGGUGAAGGAAAAGUUGAUUUACCCAAAACCACAUGUUUUCAGUCUCCAACCUGCAUGUUGAUUAAGGUUUUAUUGGUGUCCUGUCUCUCCACAUUUCAAUGGCAGUGAAAUUUGGGGUGGUUAAUAAAACCAAUGGAAGCUUUACUUCCACAUAUACGUAAUUGCAUGGAGAUGAGGGCAGUUCUCCUUCAGGAGCAUUAAAGAGAGAGAAGGAGGUGAUACAGAUGGGUUGGAAAGCAACAAAGAAAGAAACAUUUGUAUCUGGAGAACUGUCUAUGCAGGAAAUCCCUUUCCAGGUACCUUAAUUGUGUCUUAUAUUCAAAUUCAUGCUCUUUAUUUUGGGGAACGCAAAGGGUAUCUUUGGGUAUCUCCCUACUGUCUCGAGGAAACAGUAAUGAUUAGUCUGUAGCCUUUAAACAUGCUUGUUUCAUCUUUGUGUAUAUAUUUGCUGGGAGGGGCAGUUGCGGAGUCUCAUAUGGAGAGACAUCCUUUUCCUUUUGUUUGUCAUGAUUAAUUCCUUUCCCUCCUUCUGAUCUUCACCCUUAAACCUAUUUCUUCCUUUCAUCUUUCUAACCUCUGCUUUUCCCAAAUCUUUUGAACCUCCUCUGUCUUCCUGUCCUCCCCGCUUUUCUCCCCAACUUUGAGACUCCCAUCUUUGAACUCUAAGCCACUUAAUAUUGUUCUGGGUUGGAUUGAUAGAAGUAAUUAUGACGAAUUAAAUGAAGUGAAUUAUUUAACUUUCCAAGUAGGGUCUGAGUGAGAGGUGGGAAAACUGAUUGCACAGGAUCUUCUGAUUUACACUUUGCCUGGUUUUGGAUUACCAGUGUCAAACUUUUGAAACUGAAUGUUGAUGCCUAACUUGUUGUUUUAAGAUGUGUGUGAAGAAAAAGUUUGCCAGGCUGGCAUUCUCUCUUGCUACCUGUUUUCACACUAUUGCAAAUUAAUUGUAGGUGAAGAUCCUUCGACAUAAUUAGGAGUGUUUGAUCUUACAACAUUGCUGAAAUAAAGUGUGUUUAAUGCCUCCUUCCAAACUCAGUGGUGCUGUUGUAAAUCAUAGAUUGCUGAGAUGGAGGAGAAGGUCCCCAAUUCAUCAUCAUAAUGUGCUGGGAGCUCUAAGGGGCAGAAUGCUGAGAGAGUGUCCUCCCACACCAUAGAGAUCUGUGAGAUCAGACCACACCAUGCUCAGAGGAUUACUGUCUGAUAGCUAAGAAGGAGCCAGAAGCUUGGACAAGCUGGAAGAAGCCAAAAUGAUAGGAGAAGUUCCUUAAUGGUCAAGCAACUCAGGAUUCUAGCUGCUUCUUUUGUUAGAGAAAUUACUUGUCCGUGGACAGCUAGUUGGAGAUUCAUAGCGGGACUAUAAAAAGCCAUUUUGGAGAAGAUGACUCAUCCUCCCUGCCCCUUUAGCUAGGUGUGUGUCAGGGAAAGAAGAAACAUUUCUGAGAAGGGAAUGACAAACAUUGAAAAGGGAGAACAGAGCUGAAAGGUAUAUUCCUAAAAGCAGACUUUAUGCUGCAGGUAUCACGAGGCAUCUGAAUGGAAGAACUGUACAUGAUUAGAAGUCUAUUUUCAGAAGUGAAAGUGGACUCCUGGACCCUUCUGGUUUCAUGUUUUUGGAGGACUGAUAUGGGCUCCUGAGUAUAAAAUCAGUUACUGAGCUCCAAUGUUUGGCUGAUGCUGAUACAGUCCCAGGGUUUCUUAAGCUUUUUCCACUUGUGACCUUUUUUUUUGCCUGAUAAUAUUUUUGUGAUUCUCAUAUAAAAUAGGUAUAAACAUCAAACAUUUCCUGAAAA